UUAGUCUUUUAAUUGGAGACUGGAAUGAAAGAGUGAACCGGGAGGAGCUUUUUUGGGUUAAAGAGGUGAAGUUAACUUUUUAGUAAGAAGGCUAAAAUUCUACUUGGGGACAAGAAGACCCUAUAAAACUUUAUAUUUUGUCUUUUUUAAGUUAAGGAUUAAGUAUUUUACUGGGGUGGUAGAGAAACGGAGCUUUUUUUAAAAAUUAUAACAGAUUGUUUAAAUAUCCAAAAUUUUUGAAGUAAGAAUAAGUUACUUUAGGGAUAACAGCUUGAUUCUUUUUGAAAGUUCAAAUUGACAAAAGAGAUUAAGACCUCGAUGUUGAAUUAAAAUUCCUUUAGGGCGCAAAAGCUU
rnacentral:rRNA from 1 species